GAUCCUGGCUCAGAAUCAACGCUGGCGGCGUGCCUAACACAUGCAAGUCGCACGAGAAAGGGUAGCAAUACCUGAGUAAAGUGGCGCACGGGUGAGUAACACGUGAAUUAUCUACCUCCGAGUGGGGAAUAACUGAGAGAAAUCUUAGCUAAUACCGCAUAACACUUACGAGUCAAAGCAGCAAUGCGCUUGGAGAGGAGUUCGCGGCAGAUUAGUUAGUUGGCGGGGUAAUGGCCCACCAAGACGAUGAUCUGUAUCCGGCCUGAGAGGGCGCACGGACACACUGGAACUGAAACACGGUCCAGACUCCUACGGGAGGCAGCAGUGGGGAAUUUUGCGCAAUGGGGGAAACCCUGACGCAGCAACGCCGCGUGGAGGAUGAAAUCCCUUGGGAUGUAAACUCCUUUCGAUAGGGAAGAUUAUGACGGUACCUAUAGAAGAAGCCCCGGCUAACUUCGUGCCAGCAGCCGCGGUAAUACGAGGGGGGCAAGCGUUGUUCGGAUUUAUUGGGCGUAAAGGGUGCGUAGGCGGUUUGGCAAGUCUUGUGUGAAAUCUUCGGGCUCAACCCGAAGCCUGCACAAGAAACUGCCGGGCUUGAGUAUGGGAGAGGUGAGUGGAAUUUCCGGUGUAGCGGUGAAAUGCGUAGAUAUCGGAAGGAACACCUGUGGCGAAAGCGGCUCACUGGACCAU
rnacentral:rRNA from 1 species